CUCGUAAAUUUUGUGAUUUUUUAAUAGUGCAGAAUAAAUAUCAUUUUCUUUUCUUUUAAUUGAAGAUCUACACUCCAAACCUUCAUCUGCCUCACACAGCCUCUAAGAUAACCCUUCUUCCACUAUGUAAUAAACCUUUCCAAUCCCCCUCUCAUCCAUGCUAUUCCAUGGCAAGGGUUCGCUAAUUCGACAUCACAAGCAACUAAUCGUUGAAAUGGCUUAGCGCUAGGGUUCAUUGCAACGACGAAUCGACGAAGAACAUGUAGUUCGACUCAGACGAAGAAGGUGAGGAGGAAGACGAAGAGAGAUUCCAGCGGUAGUGUCGGUCACGCAAAGGUGGUGGCGCAGGACACGUUGGAGCUCGGUGGAGGCUGCCAUAGCUCCGACAACGAUGGUGAAAGAGAUUUCCAGGAUUUGAAAAACUCAGCCAACCUAGUCUUCCAUGUUGUCACCAAUAAGAAAACUUAUACUCCGAUGCACACCUGAUUUGCCAUCAACUCUAUUAAUUCAACAAUUGUUGAGGAAAAUCCAGAUUGAUGACUACAUAACACACAACUUGUCAUUUGAUGACAUUAAUAAAGCUUUCGAUCUCAUGAAGGAAGGAAGUGUUUGCGUUGUGUUAUCCACAUGCCAAGAUAAUACUUUUAGUUUCUUUCUUUAUUUUUUUCUAAAAUAGUGAAAGUUAUUGUAGAAAUCAGUACCCCAUAAAAUGUAGAAACUUCUUUGCAUAGUUAUCAUUGAACAUUGAUAAGAGUUAAAUCUUGUAUUACCAAUAUUGAUCAUGCUAAUCAUAUGCUAUGCUACUUUUUGUCUUCACUCAACCAUAAAAAUUUAUAUAUGAUAAAGAAUGUGACAUUGUUUUAAAGUCUUGCAUAACACAUAAUAAACGUUUGUUUUUAUAUCAUUAAUAUUGUAAAAUAUUUUUAAAUAUAUGAAAUAUAUUUUAAUGUAAAAUGAAACAAUUUAAAAUGUAAUAUAAGUGGUUUAAAAGAGAGUAAUUUAAGAUAAUGUGGAGAGAUAUUUUUUAGUGUUGAGAAUGUCUGUUUUAGAGAGUGAAGAGUGUUAUUUAGGUUGAAAGUUCUACUUUUGAGAAAAAAAAUUAGAUACAUAAUUUUAUAGUGCAUGUUAGAAGAGAAAGGUUGCUUAUUUUAUAAAUCUUUGUGGAAUAUUUCAGUGGAUACUAGAGAAUAGGGUCAACAAAUCACUUGGUUUGAUUUUAGAAAGUGAGAUUGUUUUGCUUUAUAUAUUAAACUGGAGUUACACAACAUCAUUCACUGUUAGUAUUUUUUAGACAAAAAUGGCCUAUGGGACGACAUUUGACAGGUUGACCAAAAUAUUUUCACAAUGUUUAUCAUCUGAUUUUCAUCCCAAAAAAUUUUCCAUAUGCAAGUUUAAAUAGUAUCUUUUCCUUGUCAUCUACUUUAAUACAUUCACUUUAUGACUAUCCAUUUAUUUCUUCCUUUUCUUUCCUUUUUUUUCCAGAGUUUUGUGAAUCUUAGAGUAUUAAAUUUUGAUAAGUGCAAAUGUAUAACACAAAUACCAGAUAUACACCAUUGCACCAGUGAUGAACGGGAAAGUUUCUAUCCUUCAAGUUAUGGAGAAAAAGUUGAGCGAAUGAGUGUGGAGGAGUUUGAACGGGGCAAGCUCUGGUUAUGCGAUACUUUUUCUCUCAUAAGAAGAUGAUCAGGGAUUAUGAUGAAACUUAUCUUCUCACAAACCCUUCAGAUUGUGCUACCAAAAUGAACCACUCAAAACUAGAUAGAAAAUUUAUAGGUAACUGGUGAAUACACACCAACAGAUAACAAGAGACCAACUAAUAGAAGGAAAUAGCAGUGAGACAAAUCAUUUUUCAGUAGGCUUGUAUAGUGGUCGACAACAACUACGUCCUAAAAUGAACUUAACUUCUGAUACUAGGAUUGUGUCUAAAACAUGGCCAUAGUGUCUUCAUUGGAGUGUCAAAGGGUUAGAUUGAAUCUUAGCAUGGGUUGUGAAAACUGAUUGUAUAAUAUCAUUGUUUUGGCUUUCAUUAUUUGAAAAUCUUGAAUCUUGUAGCUGUCCUCUUAUACGUGUUAGGCUUACAUCUUUAAUUUUGAAGUUCUGCUUUUUAAUCCUUCUAUAGAGAUACGAAUUUUAAUUGAUGUCUAAUAGACAUAAAGUUUUAUGUUUUAUAAGGUGUUGAUUGUAACAUCCCAUCAGGAUAUUACGACUUUAAUAAAAAUAAAAUAAUUAAUUAAUUACACAAUAAUUAAUUAUGCCUCAAUUCCUAAAACACAGGGAAAUUUAAAAUUUUUAACAUCGUAUAAUAGAACAUCGUCUCAUAGCUCAUAAAGUGAAAUAAUGUUCCAGAGUCUCUCAAAAGUUUACAUAUCAUUUAAAAAUCCAAAACUAAUAAACAUAGUAAUAAAAAUCCCAUGAUCAUCCCCUCUCCGUAGCUAAGCCUCACCAGCUCCACCUGCAUCAUCACAUGCUCACGUGUAUCGCGUAAACGAUCAUCGCCAAACACAAGCAGAUAAGGCUGAGAAUCUUGCUGACUUCUAUGAAUAUUGCAAGGGAUUGGAACUUGCCAGGAAUUUCUAGCUUCCAACACUGAGACAGGAUUGACCUCAAUGGAGGAGAAGAGCACUGGAUGAUUAGACAUGUGCCUCAUCUACAUUUUGUCACGAAAGAUCGUGGUUUGCUAAUGAUCCAGAAAGUAGCUAAAAUUUUAUCUUCGCGUUUGCAGAGGUUCUGCUAUUGCACGUGUUCUAGGAUGCGUUGGAAGCAAAUUCUUCAUUUCAAAUUUAACACGUAUUUGCGUCGGCCAAGCCCACACAAGGCCAAUGCUAACAAUUAUAGUGCAAAUUAUUUACGUCGACUAAACCCAACAAGGCUGACGCUAACGUGCAUGGGCUUGACCCACACAUACGAAUUUAUUAUUGUAUUUUUUAUAUGUUUUUGUCGAUUGAGCUGACGAUAAGUAAGAAGCAAAUGUGCGUCCCCAUUUAGCCGACGCAAACGAGUUUUGCAUCCAGGAAAUAGGCGUGGUCCAUGUGGCCGUCGCGACAAGAUCAUCUUCUUAUCGUCGGUUUUGUGCUUGUGACGUCCAUUUUUGGCCGACGAAAAAAGCCUACAUUCUUGUAGUGGUAGUUAUUGCUACUAGCUUGAAGGAAAACGAAAAGGUGUUAUGGCGUGCUGCGGUGAAUAAAUUGAGAAGUUCUAAGCCAAUCAAUAUUCAAAAAGGUUUACGAGAUCCCUAUUAGUGUUUAUAGUUGAGCUACGAUAAUCUAGAUAUUGAAGAAUGCAGGUACAAUAUAGCUUUCUGUCCAAAAUGUUUUGGGGUUAAGCAUGUCAUGAACUUUGCUAAACAGUGUACUAAAGUGAAAGUGCACUAAACACCUUUUACAAAAUAUCCUACAAAUUUUGUAACUAAUAAUACCAUGAAUGCAAGUA